GAUGAACGCUGGCGGCGUGCCUAAUACAUGCAAGUCGAGCGAACAGAUGAGGAGCUUGCUCCUCUGACGUUAGCGGCGGACGGGUGAGUAACACGUGGAUAACCUACCUAUAAGACUGGGAUAACUUCGGGAAACCGGAGCUAAUACCGGAUAAUAUAUUUCACCGCAUGGUUCAAUAGUGAAAGACGGUUUUGCUGUCACUUAUAGAUGGAUCCGCGCCGCAUUAGCUAGUUGGUAAGGUAACGGCUUACCAAGGCAACGAUGCGUAGCCGACCUGAGAGGGUGAUCGGCCACACUGGAACUGAGACACGGUCCAGACUCCUACGGGAGGCAGCAGUAGGGAAUCUUCCGCAAUGGGCGAAAGCUUGACGGAGCAACGCCGCGUGAGUGAUGAAGGUCUUCGGAUCGUAAAACUCUGUUAUUAGGGAAGAACAAAUGUGUAAGUAACUAUGCACGUCUUGACGGUACCUAAUCAGAAAGCCACGGCUAACUACGUG
rnacentral:rRNA from 1 species